ensembl:rRNA 5S_rRNA 5S ribosomal RNA
GUCUACAGCCACACCACACUGAAUGUGCCUGAUCUCAUUUGAUCUCAGAAGCUAAGCAGGGUCAGGCCUGGUUAGUACUUGGAAGAGAGAAACCAGCCUCAUGUAGCUA